rnacentral:rRNA from 1 species
UCCGGUUGAUCCUGCCGGACCUGACUGCUAUCGGAUCGAUACUAAGCCAUGCGAGUCAUUGUAGCAAUACAAGGCAGACGGCUCAGUAACGCGUAGUCAACCUACCCUAUGGACGGGAAUAACCUCGGGAAACUGAGUAUAAUGCCAGAUAGAACACUAUACCUGGAAUGGUUUGUGUUUCAAAUGAUUUAUUGCCGUAGGAUGGGACUGCGGCCUAUCAGUUUGUUGGUGAGGUAAUGGCCCACCAAGACUAUUACAGGUACGGGCUCUGAGAGGAGUAGCCCGGAGAUGGGUACUGAGACACGGACCCAGGCCCUAUGGGGCGCAGCAGGCGAGAAAACUUUGCAAUGUGCGAAAGCACGACAAGGUUAAUCCGAGUGAUUUCUGCUAAAGGAAUCUUUUGUCAGUCCUAGAAACACUGUUGAAUAAGGGGUGGGCAAGUUCUGGUGUCAGCCGCCGCGGUAAAACCAGCACCUCAAGUGGUCAGGAUGAUUAUUGGGCCUAAAGCAUCCGUAGCCUGCUUUGUCAGUUUUCGGUUAAAUCCAUACGCUCAACGUAUGGGCUGCCGGAAAUACUGCAAAGCUAGGGAGUGGGAGAGGUAGACGGUACUCGGUAGGAAGGGGUAAAAUCCUUUGAUCUAUCGAUGACCACCUGUGGCGAAGGCGGUCUACCAGAACACGUCCGACGGUGAGGGAUGAAAGCUGGGGGAGCAAACCGGAUUAGAUACCCGGGUAGUCCCAGCUGUAAACUAUGCAAACUCAGUGAUGCAUUGGCUUGAUGCCAAUGCAGUGUUGCAGGGAAGCCGUUAAGUUUGCCGCCUGGGAAGUACGUACGCAAGUAUGAAACUUAAAGGAAUUGGCGGGGGAGCACCACAAGGGGUGAAGCCUGCGGUUCAAUUGGAGUCAACGCCGGGA